AGUAGCUACAAAAAACGCCAAGAACUUCAUAUUUAAUAUAAUAUAUGAAAUCUAGCAUUUAGUGUAAAAAACAAAAUAUUUUUGCAAAUAUAGUUAAAAAUACCAACAUUUAAACAUUAGCCAAAUUAUCACUAAAAGAUGCCCAAGAAUAUCUCGUCAAAAUUAGAACAAUUUGACAAAUAUUUUGACAAAUAGCUAGACAAUAAUUAAUGAAAGAAACAGUAAUCUGGGAUAACUAAAAAUUAAUGCUAAAUUGAUGUUAGCCCCAAAAAGCUAUGUCAGCAUUACAACAGCAAAUAUCACGAAAAUAGAGUGAAAAACAGCCAGAAAAUAGCCAAACCAGGAGAAGAUAAAGGUUUGUCUACACAAUUCCUUUGUUCCAACAGAUUUAUAGGAUACACACUUAACUGAUAUUAAUCUAAGAGAAACUUAAACAGAUUAAAUAUUUAAAUGUCAAAUCACCCAGUGCUGUUCAAAUAUUGAAGUAGAACUUUUUUUGAUAAUUGCAAAAAGACUUUAAAACUAUGUAAACAGUUCACAGAUAUGAUGCUUUCUUAGACAACUUGACCGAGAGAGAUGCUGGGGUAAAUGAGUCUAGUGUGUCCCCACUGGCCUCGCUCUUAUCACAGGGCAGCAGAUGAGUGCGACCUCAUCUCAGUAUCUCAGUGGAGCCACCAGCCUGAGGCAGCAGUGUUGUCUUUGGUUCAGCUGACUCAGCAGCUCCCUUGUCUAAGGCUGGAUGGCUUUGUUUUGACUGAGGAUUGAUGGUGACCAGGCAGCCAGUCAGUCAUCCAGUCAGAAAGCCAAUCAUCUGGUUUCCACAGGACAGCCCGGUUGUUGUGACUGAAGAGCUCAGCUCCAGAGAAGAGGGCGUGUCAUUGAGUGUACAAAGCUGCACUGAGAGGCCUGAGGCAAAGGUGCAGCACGUAGACCAGGACUCUACACUUAAAGCUUUAAUCAAGGAGACUGUCUCAAACAGUCUACAUGGCUGCUGAGUGGAGGUAAACACAGAGGGACCAAGACAGAGUUUAACAGGACACCAAGCAUGACAACUUCCAAGCA